CUGGGAUUACAGGCGUGAGCCACUGCACCUGGCCUGAACCACACAAAAUUCUAAUACCCUCCAUUGACAAGGAAACAGCCUACUUGACUGCAAGGGGCCAGUUCCUCCUGUGCUGCCACUCACCCUUGCCCGGGCGAGCCGCUGUCCUUAUUCAACUGUCCCUUCCUCCCGGAUGCCUUCCCCAUGACUGCGCAGGUGGAGGAAGGGGUUCGUCAGGACCAGAGACGGACGGGGACGCAUGACUGGGCCCGGGGCAGGCCGAGCUGAAGGGAAGGUGCCUGGCCGCACCCCUGAAGUCAGGUUAGGGCAGAAUGAAGGGCUGUGCAUUUUCUGGGAGACAGAUGCAAUGCUUUCCGCUUUCCACAGGAGAGGUCCCUGAUUAGGUGGGGGGUGGGAGAGAAAAGGCAAGAGGAAUGGUGGGGAUUAGGGGCAGGUUAGUUAGGAGGCCGCGGCACCCCCUCGGGUGGGAAGAAGGACUUGUGCUGUCCCUGGCAGUAGUGAUCGAUCAAAGUGCUUCUAACUUGGCGACCAGAUACACAGCAGUGUCACACACCACAGAAGAUGCAGAAACAGGUGCCGGGGAAAAGGGUUUUAGUCUCAGACUUUGUGUAAUUUGGAGGCACGGAUGGGCAUGGGGGUGGAGUGGUCCAGGGGCAGCUGAGCUCUGGGAACAGGGCUUUAGGUGUGAGCGCUGUGGAGUCCUCAGGUGCUGACGGAGCACCCAGGCAGUUGGGAAACGGUGAAGGGAGGGUGAGCUGGCAGAGCGGGCAGGCAAGCGGAUGCUUCAAGGCCUGUGACUGUGCUCCUGCUUCUGGGACAACAGGAAAGUGUACUUGGGGGGCUCUCUUGGGGGGUGGGUUCCAUUCAGCCCAGAACCAAAGGAUCGGCUGGGCGUGGUGGCUCACACCUGUAAUCCCAACACUUUGGGAA
rnacentral:lncRNA from 10 species